rnacentral:lncRNA from 1 species
ACAGUUAAGUCUAAUAACAGAAUUGUGGUUUUAUUUAACAGUCCUUAUCUUUUAGACAUACAUAUUGAAAUAUUUACAAAUGAAAUGAUUCACUAUCUGGGAUUUGCUUCAAAAUAAAUAGGGGUUCAAAGAUGAAUGGCAUUUAGAUAAAUCAAGAAUGAACUGAUCAUGUUAAAAUGAGUUCAUUAUGCAAUUCUCCUUUUACAUGUAUCUUACAUACCCCAUUAAAAUUUUUAAAAAGCACUCACUCCAGUGUCUCCUAGGUAUAAGAACACAGGCGGCUGGCAGCAACUGAACGGUAUCAACUAAAUUUUUAUAAAUUCAAAGAGUCAUUAAUUCUCAGUUAUCUCAAAAGUAAAAUCUCUGGGAAACUUAAUAUUAAGACAGUAACUAUCUGCACACAGUAAUGUGUAUAAAAUUUAAUUACCACCACCAGUCACAGGCUAGUCGAGCAGCUGUAUCAACCAUGGUACAAACAGUAACAGAGCAAAAGCACCAGUCAUCAGCACCACUCUUCACUGACACAUUUCUUCUCACCAGAGAUCACUGAGGGACUGGAACCCCCAUCGGAAGUAUUAUUACUACCCUCACUGACUACAGAAAAUACUACCUUCAAGAGAGUACGUGUCUACAGUAACUAAUUUUACAGCAAUCCCUCAGGCCACUUGAAACUCACUCAAAUUGCACAUCCAAUCAAUACAUGAGUUGGGAUGCCUAGGCGUAACUUACACACAUAAAAUAUAUACCCACCAGAAUGGCUGUCAUCAGAAAGACAACAAGUAUUGGCAAGGAUGUGGAGACACUGCAGCCCGCAUGCACCUGGCAGGAAUAGCUCUAAAAGUACAGUCAGUUUGGAAAAAGUUUAGCAGUUUUUUAAAACGUUAAAUAUAAAUUUACCACACAACCUGACAAUUCCACAACUAGGAAUCUGAGAUGAAAACAUGUCCACACAAAGACGUAUUUAUGAAUCUUCAUAGCAUUGUUAUUCACAAUUUUAAAAUAGGCCAGUCAAAUGUCUAUCAACUGGUGAAUGGAUAAACAAAAUGUUGUAUAUCCAAACAGUGAACACUAAAUCAGCAACUAAAGGAACUACACGCAGGUGUAAGCUACAACAUGGAUGAACCUCAAAAACAUGCUAAGUGAAAGAUGCCAGAUAUAAAAGACUAACUGCAUGAUUCUAACUCUGUGAAAUUUCUAGAAAGGGUAAAUCUGUACAGAAAGCAGAUCAGUGUGGCUGCCUGGGGCUGGAGGUAGGAGUGAAUUAACUGCAGAGCAGCAUGAGUAACUUUUGGGGGCUGAUGGAAAUGUUCUAAAACUGGAUUGUACAAUUCCUAAGUUUACUAAAACCAAUUAAUUGUACAUUUACAAUCGGUGAAUUUUACAGUGUGUAAAUUAUACAAAGCAAUUUUUUAAGUACCAUUGUAACAAAGUCUUAGAAAUCACUAUUUUAAAGCUCUGGCUCAAAGCUCAUUCAUUUGAUAUAUUCAACACAACAAACUCUAAUAUACUACUAGGAUUAAGAAUAUUAGCAUUUCCUUGAAAACUAAACACACUACUUUCAAAGGAUUCCAAGUACACCCAUCUCUAAAUCUUACUGAUUAAACAUUGCUCUUUUAGCUAUAAGUCAUGUGACAAAAUCACUGUUAACGAUUGAAUUAGCAUUGUCCCUUAGCCAUUUCAUUAAUUUGUCUUCCCCCAACCUUGUGCCCUAUGGUAUAUCUUUUUGUAAGAAUCUCUUGCUUGCUAUUGGAUAUUGCCCAAGUUUUCCAUCAGAUAUAAGGUUUUCUCAGAAUAUUUCAUAACCGGAAAUAAAAUUGUAAUACUCAUAUGAACAUGUAUUUGAAUACAUAUAUACUUUUUAAAUAUAAAAGGAAUAUGUUCCUUUUAGUUUGUUUGCUCAUUAAGCCACUUACAUGAUGCCCCUAAGUUUCAAACACUUCACUGUUUCCCAUCAGGCUUUGCUUUUACGACGUGGGUUCAAAAUUCUUCUUUUCAAAGCAGUGCUGCCUUCAGUGACCAAGCUGGCAUGAUUUUUAGUCAGACGCCAUUUCUUUCCAUUCCUCUGACAGAU